GUAGGGAAUAUUGCGCAAUGGACGAAAGUCUAACGCAGCGACGCCGCGUGAGUGAUGAAGGCCUUAGGGUCGUAAAGCUCUGUUGAAUGGGAAGAAAAAAAUGACGGUACCAUUCGAGGAAGGACCGGCUAACUUCGUGCCAGCAGCCGCGGUAAUACGAGGGGUCCUAGCGUUGUUCGGAAUCAUUGUGCGUAAAGGGUGUGUAGGUGGCCAUGUAAGUCAGGUGUGAAAGCCCCGGGCUCAACCCGGGAAGUGCACUUGAUACUGCGUGGCUUGAGUACCGAAGAGGGUAGUGGAAUUCCAGGUGUAGUGGUGAAAUACGUAGAUAUCUGGAGGAACACCGGUGGCGAAGGCGGCUACCUGGUCGAGUACUGACACUGAGACACGAAAGCAUGGGGAUCAAACAGGAUUAGAUACCCGGGUAGUCC
rnacentral:rRNA from 1 species